rnacentral:rRNA from 1 species
AAGUAGGGUCCAAGCGUUAAUCGGAAUUACUGGGCGUAAAGCGUGCGCAGGAGGUUGUGCAAGAACGAUGUGUACCUCCCGGGGUCAAACCGGGAAUUGCAUUGGUGACUGGACGACUAGAGUGUGUCAGAGGAGGGUAGCAUUCCACGUAUAGCAGUUAAAUGCGUAGAGAUGUUGAGGAAUACCGAUGGCGAAGGCAGCCCCCUGGGAUAACUCUGACGCUCAUGCACUAAAGCGUGGUAAGCAAACAU